UGCAGCAACGCCGCGUGAGGGACGACGGCCUUUAGGGUUGUAAACCUCUUUUAGUAGGGAAGAAGCGAAAGUGACGGUACCUGCAGAAAAAGCACCGGCUAACUACGUGCCAGCAGCCGCGGUAAUACGUAGGGUGCAAGCGUUGUCCGGAAUUAUUGGGCGUAAAGAGCUCGUAGGCGGUUUGUCGCGUCUGCUGUGAAAACUGGAGGCUCAACCUCCAGCCUGCAGUGGGUACGGGCAGACUAGAGUGCGGUAGGGGAGAUUGGAAUUCCUGGUGUAGCGGUGGAAUGCGCAGAUAUCAAGAGGAACACCGAUGGCGAAGGCAGAUCUCUGGGCCGUAACUGACGCUGAGGAGCGAAAGCAUGGGGAGCGAACAGGAUUAGAUACCCUGGUAGUCCAUGCCGUAAACGUUGGGAACUAGAUGUGGGGGCCAUUCCACGGUCUCCGUGUCGCAACUAACGCAUUAAGUUCCCCGCCUGGGGAGUACGGCCGCAAGGCUAAAACUCAAAGGAAUUGACGGGGGCCCGCACAAGCGGCGGAGCAUGCGGAUUAAUUCGAUGCAACGCGAAGAACCUUACCAAGGCUUGACAUAUACGAGAACGGGCCAGAAAUGGUCAACUCUUUGGA
rnacentral:rRNA from 1 species